rnacentral:rRNA from 1 species
AGUGAACGCUUGGCGGUAGGCUAACACAUGCAGUCGAACGGCAGCACAGGAGAGCUUGCUCUCUGGGUGGCGAGUGGCGGACGGGUGAGGAAUGCAUCGGAAUCUACUCUUUCGUGGGGGAUAACGUAGGGAAACUUACGCUAAUACCGCAUACGACUACGGGUGAAAGCCGGGGACCUUCGGGCCUGGCGCGAAAGAAUGAGCCGAUGCCCGAUUAGCUAGUUGGCGGGGUAAGAGCCCACCAAGGCGACGAUCGGUAGCUGGUCUGAGAGGAUGAUCAGCCACACUGGAACUGAGACACGGUCCAGACUCCUACGGGAGGCAGCAGUGGGGAAUAUUGGACAAUGGGCGCAAGCCUGAUCCAGCCAUACCGCGUGGGUGAAGAAGGCCUUCCGGGUUGUAAAGCCCUUUUGUUGGGAAAGAAAAGCAGUCGGUUAAUACCCGAUUGUUCUGACGGUACCCAAGAAUAAGCACCGGUAACC